GAAGGGUUCCAAAGGGUUGCUACCCCUUUAAACCCGAGACUUAAACCUCGGACCCAUCA
rnacentral:tRNA from 1 species